rnacentral:lncRNA from 1 species
UACCUCACAACUAUCCCUCUCCUUUUUACUCGCAUGAUCAUCUCUCUUUUCUUUUCUCUUGAACUCAAUUGACAGCUUAUUCUCUCCACACAACACAACCUAUUUCUUUUCCUCUUUUCGAAUGUUAACAUGCACUUCCUUACUCCUUCCAUUAUUUUCUCUCUCAAAAUCUUUCAUUGCUUCUUUCACACGUUUCUGAUUUUCAUAAACUUGGGAUGGAGUUAAAGGUACAAGUUUAUAUUUUCUUUUGUUUAGCUCAAAGAAACUCUAUUCUUCCCCCUAUCAUAAAUUAUAUUCCUAUCAAACUGCCAGGGAUGUCCAAGCUUGAUAUGACAAUCUUGCAUUGGAAUUACAUCACAAAGAAUAUUAUCAAAG